rfam:Nicotiana sylvestris Nsyl_contig26534, whole genome shotgun sequence.
UGGACAAAUUAUUGUAUUCGACUGUAUUCACGACGUGAAAUAGGGGAUUACACUGUUUUUAAAACGGAAAGUGAAUCAAUUAACAUAAUAGACUCCU